AGAGGAAGAACACGGACUGAAAAACCUUGUUCAACUCUGAACGUCAGACUCCUGUGAACGUGUGUGAACCCGCUAGGAAGCGACUUCCACAGCCUUAUAGUCCGGAAAAUACGGACAUUUUACAUGGAACUGCUUUGUCGAGAUGCACCACUACAACCCUAACGGAAAAAGACGGCCACAUAACGACAUUUCUACGACAGAAAAGGUCCGCAUGGAGCUGGAGGGGGCGUGGCUUCCAGUUCCGGCUGAAAAUCGGGAGAUUUUCGGGAGAAUAUUUGUCCCGGGAGUUUUUCGGGAGAGGCGCUGAAUUUCGGGAGUUUCCCGGAAAAUUCGGGAGGGUUGGCAAGUAUGCUUAUACUAAAAACAAAUGUAUUGUUCUUAAUGGAAAUUCAACAAGGGGUACUACUCUCGGGGUCUCCUAGCCGCUCAGACAAAUCAUAUGGUCUAAAAAUGCAUUUUUCCAUCGACAACAUGACAUCAUCGCGCCAAGUGCGUGCUCUUUCAGUCAACUAGUGCGCAUAUAUACAGCACGGAACCCCGGCCAAAAUGUUUUUAAUUGUAAUUUUGAAGAAUUUAUCUGAAUGUGCAUGAACUAUUUCUGUUCAAAAUUGUUCAAAAUGUUGAAUGUUUAAAUAUUAACUGUCAGUUUGCUGUACUGUACUAUUGUUUCAUUGAAAAUAAAACAGCAAAGUCCAUUUGGCUGUCAUCUGU